rnacentral:rRNA from 1 species
AGCGAACGCUGGCGGCAGGCUUAACACAUGCAAGUCGAGCGGGUGUAGCAAUACGUCAGCGGCAGACGGGUGAGUAACGCGUGGGAACGUACCUUUUGGUUCGGGAUAACCCAGGGAAACUUGGGCUAAUACCGGAUAAGCCCUUACGGGGAAAGAUUUAUCGCCGAAAGAUCGGCCCGCGUCUGAUUAGCUAGUUGGUGAGGUAACGGCUCACCAAGGCGACGAUCAGUAGCUGGUCUGAGAGGAUGAUCAGCCACAUUGGGACUGAGACACGGCCCAAACUCCUACGGGAGGCAGCAGUGGGGAAUAUUGGACAAUGGGCGGCAAGCCUGAUCCAGCCAUGCCGCGUGAGUGAUGAAGGCCCUAGGGUUGUAAAGCUCUUUUGUGCGGGAAGAUAAUGACGGUACCGCAAGAAUAAGCCCCGGCUAACUUCGUGCCAGCCGCCGCCGUAAU